rnacentral:rRNA from 1 species
CGAACGAACCUUCGGGUUAGUGGCGGACGGGUGAGUAACGCGUGAGAAUCUGCCCUCAGGAGGGGGAUAACAGCUGGAAACGGCUGCUAAUACCCCAUAUGCCGCGAGGUGAAAUGAAUUUCGCCUGAGGAUGAGCUCGCGUCUGAUUAGCUAGUUGGUGUAGGUAAUGGCUCACCAAGGCAUCGAUCAGUAGCUGGUCUGAGAGGAUGAUCAGCCACACUGGGACUGAGACACGGCCCAGACUCCUACGGGAGGCAGCAGUGGGGAAUUUUCCGCAAUGGGCGAAAGCCUGACGGAGCAACGCCGCGUGAGGGAUGAAGGCCUCUGGGCUGUAAACCUCUUUUAUCAAGGAAGAAGAUCUGACGGUACUUGAUGAAUAAGCCACGG